UUAGUGGCGAACGGGUGAGUAUCACGUGAGUAACCUUCCCUUGACUCUGGGAUAAGCCCGGGAAACUGGGUCUAAUACCGGAUACGACCAGUCCUCGCAUGGGGUGCUGGUGGAAAGAUUUAUCGGUCUUGGAUGGACUCGCGGCCUAUCAGCUUGUUGGUGAGGUAAUGGCUCACCAAGGCGAUGACGGGUAGCCGGCCUGAGAGGGUGACCGGCCACACUGGGACUGAGACACGGCCCAGACUCCUACGGGAGGCAGCAGUGGGGAAUAUUGCACAAUGGGCGAAAGCCUGAUGCAGCGACGCCGCGUGCGGGAUGACGGCCUUCGGGUUGUAAACCGCUUUCAGCAGGGAAGAAGCGAAAGUGACGGUACCUGCAGAAGAAGCGCCGGCUAACUACGUGCCAGCAGCCGCGGUAAUACGUAGGGCGCGAGCGUUAUCCGGAAUUAUUGGGCGUAAAGAGCUCGUAGGCGGUUUGUCACGUCUGCUGUGAAAGCCCGAGGCUCAACCUCGGGUGUGCAGUGGGUACGGGCAGACUAGAGUGCAGUAGGGGAGACUGGAAUUCCUGGUGUAGCGGUGAAAUGCGCAGAUAUCAGGAGGAACACCGAUGGCGAAGGCAGGUCUCUGGGCUGUUACUGACGCUGAGGAGCGAAAGCAUGGGGAGCGAACAGGAUUAGAUACCCUGGUAGUCCAUGCCGUAAACGUUGGGCACUAGGGUGUGGGGAACAUUCCACGUUUUCCGCGCCGUAGCUAACGCAUUAAGUGCCCCGCCUGGGGAGUACGGCCGCAAGGCUAAAACUCAAAGGGAAUUGACGGGGGCCCGCACAAGCGGCGGAGCAUGCGGAUUAAU
rnacentral:rRNA from 2 species